rnacentral:lncRNA from 1 species
GUUAUUAUUUUAUUUUAAAUUAAAAGUCAUUAGUAUUACUAAAUAAUAUAUAAUAACAUAUAUGGUAAGUUAAUACAUAUUAUAUAUGGUAAGUUACUACAUGUCUAAGUCUAGAAAAUUAUGCAAGAAUAUAUGCAAUCCAUAUAGUCAAUACUAUAGAAAUAAUCCUUUAUUAGUUUUAUUUAUUAUUUUUUUUUAUUUUUAUACUUUAUUAACAAUUAUUUCUAUAAUAUAGGCUAAAUGGAUUAUUUAUAGUCUUGUUUAACUCUAUAGUUUAGACAUAUGACAUGUAGUAACAUACCAUAUUAGUUUAAAUCAGUUGUAAAAUUAAAAAUGUUAACAUCUUUGAUAGGCAUAUUUAUUUAGGUUAGUUGCAGCUAAGUUUACAUGGCUAGUUAAUAUGCUUUUAUAAAUUGCAAUUUUUGUUAAUUUCCAAAUUAAACAUGUGGCAUCCAAUAUCAUAAACUAAGUUUAUACUGGUGUGUUUAUAUUAUUUUAGAAUUUUUUGUUAUUGACACAUGGCAUUUGUUAUCCCACUGUAAGUUAAAUCUAGUUGUAAAAUUAAAAAAUUUAUAUUGGAACUUCUAUUUCUUUUAACAUUCAUGUUUAAUUAAUUGAAUUACAACUUAGGUUAUAUAUGAGUUAUUUAUACUAUCUUAGAAUUUGCUGCUUUAGAGGCAUGGCAUUUAGUGUCACAUUGUAGGUUUAAAUUGGUUGUAGAAUUUAUAUUGUAACUUGCAUAUUUAUUUAGUUGAUUUUACUCUAAGUUUAUAUCUGAUGUGUUUGUAUUAUUUUAGAAUUUACUGUUUUAGACACGUGGCAUGUGGUAUUCCACUGUAUUUGAAUUUGUAAAUUAAAAAAAAUAUAUUUUUAAACUUGCAUUUCUUUUGACGUUCAUGUUUAUAUAAUUGGAUUACAACUAAGUUUGUGUAUGACUUGUUUAUAUUAUUUUAGAAUUUGCUAUUUUAGACACUUGGUAUAAGCUGUCAUACUGUAAGUUUAAAUUGGUUGUAAAAUUUAUAUUGUAACUUGCAUUUCUAUUGGCGCGCAUAUUUAUUUAGUUGAGUUUCAACUAUUAAUAAUAAUAAUAAUAAGUUUAUGUCUGGCGUUUCAACUAUUAAUAAUAAUAAUAAUAAGUUUAUGUCUGGCGUAUUUAUAUUAUUUUAGAAUUUGCUGUUUUAGACACGUGGUUUGUAAUAUCCCACUAAUUAGCUAUUUUAAACAUGUGACAAGUGGUAUGACACUGUAUUGAUGUAUGUGAAAUGUAUAGAGUCUUUCAGUUAUCAGGUAAUGUCCAGGAGUUGACAGCAUGGUGUCUGAUUUAAAGUACGAACCUGUGUACGAGUAACAACCUUAUUCAAAACCAAAACCUAUUUAAACCAACCAAACCAAAACUAGCAACCAAAAACUAAUAUCUUGGCAUUGGUUUAUUUUAAACAUUUAUUAUAUAUGUGUGUGUGUUUUAUAUAAAUGUACUAGCUUGAGUAUAGUGUAUUAAAAAUAUCUUUUUAACUAUUUUUAUUGUAAUUUAAAGUAUAUUGGAUUAAAUAUUAUAAAUAUUUGAUGAGUUUUCAAUUUUUGGUUAAAACGCUUUA